CCCUUAGAGUUUGAUCCUGGCUCAGAACGAACGUUGGCGGCGUGGAUUAGGCAUGCAAGUCGAACGAAUCCCGGUAGCAAUACCGGGGGAAGUGGCGAAAGGGGCAGUAAGGCAUGGGUAACCUACCCCGGGGAUCGGGAUAGCCUUCCUAACGGAAGGGUAAUACCGGGCGAUGUAGCGGGGGAGCAUUCUCCGGCUACGAAAUGAAUUUCGCCUCGGGAGGGGCCCAUGUGAUAUUAGCUAGUUGGUGGGGUAACGGCCCACCAAGGCCAAGAUGUCUAGCGGGUGUGAGAGCACGACCCGCGCCACUGGCACUGUGACACUGGCCAGACUCCUACGGGAGGCUGCAGUCGAGAAUCUUCGGCAAUGGGCGCAAGCCUGACCGAGCGACGCCGCGUGUGCGAUGAAGGCCUUCGGGUUGUAAAGCACUGUCGAGGGGGAUAAAGCCGCAAGGUUGAUAGAUCCCUGGAGGAAGCACGGGCUAAGUUCGUGCCAGCAGCCGCGGUAAGACGAACCGUGCUAACGUUGUUCGGAAUCACUGGGCUUAAAGGGCGCGUAGGCGGGGUGGACAGUCCGUGGUGAAAUCCUCCGGCUCAACCGGAGAACUGCCGCGGAUACUGCCACUCUCGAGGGGUGUAGGGGCAUGCGGAACUUCGGGUGGAGCGGUGAAAUGCGUAGAUAUCCGAAGGAACGCCGGUGGCGAAAGCGGCGUGCUGGACACCUUCUGACGCUGAGGCGCGAAAGCCAGGGGAGCAAACGGGAUAGAUACCCCGGUAGUCCUGGCCCUAAACGAUGGGUACUAGAUUGUGGACUGGACAUGGGUUCACAGUCGAAGCAAAGUGUAAGUAC
rnacentral:rRNA from 1 species